AAAGAUUGCUCAUGCGAAGGGUUUUGAUAUAUUCAGGCAGAUCUGGAGACAGACGUCCUUAAAGCCUCGGAUCUCUUCACAGCGUCAGACGCCAGUGAGAGACAUCAGAAGAAAUCAAAAAAGUUUAAAGUCCCUCGCCUGCAUCGCAGACAGUCAAAGAGUUGUGAAGAUCCUGAGAUCAAGCAGAGCAAAGAUCGUGACGCUUCAGAGAUGAAGAGGCCUCCUCUUCUUCAGGUGCCGCCG
rnacentral:lncRNA from 1 species